GCAGCCGCCGCGGUAAUACGGAGGGUGCAAGCGUUAAUCGGAAUUACUGGGCGUAAAGCGCACGCAGGCGGUCUGACAAGUCAGAUGUGAAAUCCCCGGGCUUAACCUGGGAACUGCAUUUGAAACUGUCAGGCUGGAGUCUUGUAGAGGGGGGUGGAAUUCCAGGUGUAGCGGUGAAAUGCGUAGAGAUCUGGAGGAAUACCGGUGGCGAAGGCGGCCCCCUGGACAAAGACUGACGCUCAGGUGCGAAAGCGUGGGGAGCAAACAGGAUUAGAUACCCGGGUAGUCCCUGUCUCUUAUAC
rnacentral:rRNA from 1 species